rnacentral:rRNA from 1 species
AACGAACGUUAGCGGCGCGCCUAACACAUGCAAGUCGCACGAGAAAGGGCUUCGGCCCCGGUACAGUGGCGCACGGGUGAGUAACACGUAGAUCAUCUCCCCUCGAGUGGUGGAUAACUC